AUAUCAGUCAUGCAUAGCAUAUCAAUAAGCGGAGGAAAAGAAACUAACAAGGAUUCCCCUUAGUAACGGCGAGUGAAGCGGGAAGAGCUCAAAUUUGAAAUCUUCAAGGGUUCUACCCUUUACGAAUUGUAGUUUAUAGAAGUGUUUUCUGUUAGUAGAGUUGGCUAAAAGUUCUUUGGAAUAGGACAUCAUAGAGGGUGAGAAUCCCGUAUUUGGUCAUUCCUCCUAGCGUUGUGAUACACUUUCAACGAGUCGGAUUGUUUGGGAAUGCAGUCCAAAAUGGGUGGUAAAUUUCAUCUAAAGCUAAAUAUUGGCGAGAGACCGAUAGCGAACAAGUACCGUGAGGGAAAGAUGAAAAGAACUUUGAAAAGAGAGUUAAACAGUACGUGAAAUUGUCAAAAGGGAAGCGUUUGACACCAGUGUUGUUUUCUCGAAAAUCAAUUAAAAAUGAUGGGAUUUUGUGUUGUAUUGACUUUAUCAGCUUUCUGCACUUUUUUCUUAUCUUUUUUAAUGCACUUUUCGUUUAACAAGUCAACAUCAAUUUCUUUUGUUGUAAAAGAGUCAUUGGAAGGUGGCUUUCAUUUCGGUGAAAAGUGUUUAUAGCCUUUGACUUCUGCAAUCGGAGAGAUUGAGGUCUGCAGCGUAGAUCCUUCGGGGUUAGAUACAUUUGUGCUAAGUUAUAGCUUUUCAUAGACAACUUGUUGACUAUAUUUAGUCUUGUAGGCUUACUCGCUUAUGCUAUUUUACCUACGCUUAGGAUGUUGAUGUGAUACUGCGAGCA
rnacentral:rRNA from 1 species